CCCCAGCCCAGGCCGAGAGCUGCGUCCGAAACCAAACCCGCCCUUCGCGCGUCGCAGAGGAGAUUCUUCUUUUUUUUCCUUUUUUUCUUUUUUUCCCCCCUUUUUAUUUUUAAUCACCAUUAUUUUUAUUAUUAUUAUUAUUAUUAUUAUUAUUAUUUUUAUUGUGAAUAGCCCUGCCCCGAGCACGGUGGCGGCGGCGGCGCCGGGGGCAGGGAGGCUGUCCCGGUUAUUUAUUCUCUCCCCGCAGAGCUGUCCCUCCGGCUCACCAUGAUGUUCCGAGACCAGGUCGGCGUGUUGGCCGGGUGGUUCAAGGGCUGGAACGAGUGCGAGCAGACUGUUGCGCUGCUCUCCCUGCUCAAACGCGUCAGCCGGACCCAGGCUCGCUUCCUCCAGCUCUGCCUCGAGCAUUCCCUGGCAGACUGCACCGAGCUCCACAUCCUCGAAGGGGAGGCCAACAACCCCGGAAUCAUCAACCAGUGGCAACAGGAAUCCAAGGAUAAAGUGAUUUCCCUCUUGCUAACCCACCUGCCUUUACUGAAGCCCGGCAACAUCGAGGCGAAGGUCGAGUACAUGAAACUCCUGCCCAAAAUCCUGGCGCACUCGAUCGAGCACAACCAGCACAUCGAGGAGAGCAGGCAGCUGCUGUCCUACGCCCUGAUCCACCCCGCCACCUCCCUGGAGGACAGGAGCGCCCUGGCCAUGUGGCUCAACCACCUGGAGGACCGCACGUCGGGGGGCUUCGGCGGGCAGGGCCGGGGCCGCUCGGACUCGGUGGACUACGGGCAGGCUCACUACUAUCACCAAAGACAGAACUCCGACGACAAACUCAACGGGUGGCAGAACUCUCGGGACUCGGGGAUAAGCGUCAGCGCUUCCAGCUGGCAGGACAAAAACCUGGCGUGCGAGAACGGCCACCUGCCCCUCUACUCCUCCUCCUCCGUCCCCACCACCAUCAACACCAUCGGCACUAGCACAAGCACCAUUCUCUCAGGCCAGACACACCACAGCCCUUUGAAACGCUCUGUGUCCCUUACCCCACCCAUGAAUGUGCCAAACCAGCCUCUAGGACAUGGAUGGAUGUCUCAUGAGGACUUACGGGCUAGAGGACCCCAGUGCAUCCCUUCCGAUCAUGCCCCCCUGUCUCCACAAAGCAGUGUAGCCUCUUCGGGAAGUGGUGGGAGUGAACAUUUAGAAGAUCAGCCUUCCGCUCGUAACACAUUCCAGGAGGAAGGGAGUGGGAUGAAAGAUGUCCCGGCCUGGCUGAAGAGCCUCCGGCUGCACAAAUACGCCGCCCUCUUCUCCCAGAUGACGUACGAGGAGAUGAUGGCCCUCACCGAAUGCCAGCUCGAGGCACAGAACGUUACCAAAGGCGCAAGACACAAAAUAGUCAUCAGUAUCCAAAAGCUAAAAGAAAGACAAAACCUGCUCAAAUCUCUAGAAAGGGACAUCCUGGAAGGUGGCAACUUGCGUGUCCCGCUGCAGGAACUACACCAAAUGAUCCUCACCCCCAUCAAAGCCUACUCUUCCCAGAACUCGAGCACGGAGGAGCACAGCCGGGACGCGGACUCGCACCACCCCUCCUCCCUGAUCGGCUCCGACGGCCAGGGCUCUGACUGCAAGGACUCUGCCGCGGGUGGGAUGCAGCAGCACCACUUGCCAGGAUGUGAGGGCGAGUCGGGGGGGGCCCCUCUUCCCGAGGGUGACCUGCCUGGACAGUUCACCCGAGUGAUGGGGAAAGUCUGCACACAACUUUUAGUUUCCCGACCCGACGAAGAGAAUAUAAGUUCCUAUUUACAGCUCAUAGACAAAUGUCUAAUCCACGAGGCGUUUACAGAGAUCCAGAAGAAGCGGCUGCUGUCAUGGAAACAGCAGGUGCAGAAACUCUUUCGGUCUUUCCCUCGGAAAUCCCUCCUGGAGCUGUCAGGCUAUCGGCAGCAGAGGAGCCGAGGCUUUGGCCAGUCGAACUCCCUCCCGACAGCCGGAUCCGCGGGGGCAGGGCUGGGCCGGAGGAACCCCCGCCAGUUCCAGAUCCCCUCCCGCAACCUCCCCACGGCCCGGCUGGGGCUGCUGGGCCCCACUGGGCUGCUGGGCACCCCCCAGCGCAGCCCUGCCGCCAGCCCCGCCAUCCUCAAGCAAGGCAGACAGAACCUCUGGUUUGCCAACCCUGGGGGCAGUAACAGCAUGCCCAGCCGGAGCCACAGCUCGGUGCAGAGGACGCGCUCGCUGCCGGUCCACACCUCCCCGCAGACCAUGCUGAUGUUUCAGCAGCCAGAGUUCCAGGUGCCGGUGACUGAACCUGACAUCAACAACAGGCUGGAGUCCCUGUGCCUGAGCAUGACGGAGCACGCACUCAGCGGUGAGCAUUCCCUCCUCCUCGGGCUCUUCCAGCACGUCCACGCCGCCUCCGCUGAGCCCCCUAGCACCUGCCCCUGCCCCGCGCCCCCCAAAAGCUGGGACAGGCUGUGGCUGUGAGGGGGCGGGAUGGUGGCGGGGCUGGAUGCAGGGAUGCUCCCAGGGAUGCUCCCGAGGGUGUUCAGACAGGGAUAUUGUCUCCCCUCGGCGAGGUGCCGGGGCAGGGGGUGAAGCCGAACACAGGGAUCGCACCAGCACUAGUGGAGUCUGUGCUAAUUAGCCACUCGUCAGCUUGCUAAUGAUAAUUAGUGUUAGCUCGCUACUCUCGUUAGCUCUCGAUAAAGCCCCUGCCACUGGAUGGGUCACAGGCUUUGGAGUGUUUUCCCUUCUGCCACCGGAUCCCUCGUUUGGCUGGGGGGUGUGGGAGCCCUGCCGGGCGCUGGUGGGUGCCAGUGGAUAACGGGCACAGGGAGGGAGGAGGACCAGGGGGAAAAACAAGCAGAAAAGAUGGAAAAAGCAGCAGCAGCAGCAGCGUGAUGGAGAGCCCAGCGCAGCACAAAGCACCGGCACCAGAAGCUCCCAGUGCCCCUCGCCGACAAGGGAUGAGCCCGGAGACGGGAUGAGCACGGCCACCAGCAUCGCCCAGACCUGGGAUAACCCGAAUAACCAGCGCAGGUCGUGCUCCCGGCAAUCCUGGACUGCACCGGAUGGUUGGGGACAGGAGUCCUUGGAGAGGAUGAGAGCCACCCGGAGCCCUGGGAGAGGACAAGUGCCACCAGGAGUCCUCGGGGAGGACAAGUGCCACCGGGCUCCCUGAGGAUGCGACAGCCCUUCCCGGGGAGAGGGACACGAGAACAAGGACUGUGAGAGGCAGCAGGGCCCUGGCAGCAUCCCUGGCCGGGAAAACAAGGACACUGCUGUCACCCGAAGCGUUUCCCCGGCGUGUUCCCAGGCGAGGCUUAGCUGUCUUGUUCCUCUGCAGGAUGGUGUCGACAGAACCUCCACAAUCUAGAAGGCGUCGCGACGGGGACGCUGGCCGGGACAACAACUGCUGCGGGUCCAGCGGCGAGGUCGGGGCUUGCAGGGAGCCUCAGCGAUAGCUUGCAUCCUUUCUCCUCUCCUCUCUCCUUCUCUCUCUCUCUCUCUCUCUCUCUCCUGUUUUAAUUUUGUGAAUGUGUAGAUUGUCCUUGUGAACAUAUCAUUAGACUUGGAAUUUGUGUUGUCAUUUAUUACAUCCAUGCUGGGAGCGGGGUUGGGGGGGAAAGGUGGCGGAAGCUCAGCGGCGAUGACGGAGCAGCGCGGGGAGGUCGGGGGGGACGCGGAGCAGAGCGCUGACAACAGAGGGGUCACCGGAGCACCGUGGGCAAACCCUGGUCCUGGAUGAGGAUACCAAGGAGUACUGAACGUCACGCAGGGUUGUGUGGCCCAAAAAGCCCUCUGGGGAGGAUUUGCCUGCCCCGCCGGCGGUCCCGCCUCCUGAGUUCCGCUGCGUUCACGGACUGGCCCAGCGAGCCCAGAUUUGAACGGAAAUAGUAAAAUAACCCCAGAAUUUGCUUUCGGUUUAGCCAAGAGACCCACAGUUUGGAGGCAGCAUUGUGCUCAGGGCAGCGGAGGGUCGGCGGGUGCCCAUCCCUGUGUCCCUGCAUGGAUCGGGAUGCUGGAUGGAGUGGGGGCAUCUCACCCAGAGGAGGGUCCCAGGGGAUGUUGGUGAAGUUGGGGGACACUGCGAGAGUUUCGGUGUCUCUUGCCUUGCCUGUGCAAGUACCAGGAAGCUGCUGCAUCCUGGCUUCACACAUCUGGCCCAGCCUGCCAAAAUCCAGCCAUGAUGGGCUCUUCCAGCCCUGGAGUGGCCAACAAGGGAUGAAGGAUCCCCCAGAUAAAACCCAAGCCCCAAAGGGCACCAAAAUGCAGCUUCACAGCCCUGUUUUCUUGGCAUUAACUAUGUGCCAGGCAGGAGAUGGGGAUGGCAGUGGCUGGGCUGCUCCUCACUCGCUGCUGCUUUUUAUAACAGGAGCUAAAUUUGGUGUUAAAGAGGUAAAUCUGGCCUGGUGCUGCUCAGACCUGCAGCACUGCUCCCACCUCCCACUGGUCCCGAUGCUGCUCCACGUCCUCUGAUGGAAUAAUAAUAAAUGUGAAAUUAGUUAAUGAAGGGAUGUGAUGGGCUGCAGCAAUAUUCCCAAUUGGCACUGACGGGCAGGAUCAUGUGCUGGGAUCGGCGGGAGCCAGGCUGGGGGCUGAGGGGGAGCCGGAGCAUUGGCAGGGCUGGGAGAUGUGUGAAUCCCAGGAGAUGUGUGAAUCCUUUUGCCAUGCAGUGUUUUUUAAGUUGUUGUUUCCUAAAAAAAAAAAAAAAACGAACAAACAAACCAAACCCAAGUGCCAAAUGCAAUGUUUUAUGUUUGCUGUUCCUUGGUGUCCUGCUUCCCAGCAGGCAGGAGACUGAGGCGGGGGUGAUGGGGGGGGUGGAGAAGGGAAAACCCGAAAGCCAGGGAGGUUGGGAAGAGGUGUGAGGAGGUGGAGGCGAAGUGGGGGGUCAGCGCUGGGGACCUGGGUCACCCCCAAGCACCCCCAGCUUGUGAGGUGUGAAGGGAACCGCCGUAGCAGGAGCCUCCCUCGGGGAGGCUCCAGUGUAUUUACAGAGCUGAAAUUCUAUUUAUUCCUUCGCUGACUGUGGACACGGAGGUUUUCUGAUUGUUCAGAGAGAUUAUUUUGGAUAUAUUACCUAUUAACUUGCUGUGGCUGGGAACCAUGAUAAUGUCUGUUAUUAACAACCACCAAAUAAUUCAAUUGUUUUUUUUGUUCCUUUUGUUGUUUAAAAAGAAAAAAAAGCAAAAGAAAAAAGCUUAUUUUCCAUUGACAGUGUAGAGGUUAAUAACGACUUAGUUGUGUUUGCUGUUUCUUGUUUUGUUUUUGUUUUUUUUUUAAGUAAAAACAACAAAGAAAGUGGCUUCAGUUGCGUUCGGGAAGUGCUGCCUGGCUCUGGCUGCCCGUGCUGAGUGCGGGCAGCAGUGCUCCAGGGGAAGAAGCAUAAGAGGAAAAGAAAUAAAAAUUAUUUAUAGAAAGAAAAAAAUCAAAAAAAGAAAAAAAAAAAGAAAACUAAAAAAAAAACCCACACAAACCCCAACAGUUGCAUGAGCGAGGCUGUGAAGUCAAAUAUUCAGUAAUAAAGCGGCAGUGCCUUUCUUUUUUGUAUCCCCCGCUCACCCCGCUGCAACUGUCCCAUCCCACGCCGGAGGAGUCGCCGCCGCGGGGUCCUGGGCGUGGGGCGGGAAUGUCCCCCCCAAUCCCGCUGCUCUCCCAGAGCCAGCCCCGGGCCCCCCCAGCACCGCCGGGGACCUUUUUCCUGGUGCUGUUCCCCUGAGCCGUCCCCGGCUGCGCGGGGAGCCCGGCCAGCUCAGCACCCAAGUGGCCUUGGGUCCGGCGGAUGCUCCCGCGGGGAAACAACCCCUGUCCCUUCCAGGUGUGUCCCCCUCCCCAGGGACAAGCCCUGAGCUCGGCUGGGCUGGAGCUGGGCUUUACCUGUGCUCGCUCAGCUCAUCAAAACCCUUGGAGGAGUUGGGAAGGGGGAGGUCAAGCCCGGCCAGCAUCCAGCAGGAAAAUCCAAAACUGUGAUUGCCGCCCGCGAGCGGAGCCGGGGUUGGGUCAGCACUUAGGGGAAGCGAUUUCUGUUGUCACCUUUCUCCAUGUCGGGGUGUGGCUGCGCCCCAGGUUUGGCUUUUGGAAUGUGCCUGAUGGAAAGUGGGUCCCGCAGACGUCUAUAAUUUGCACACAGCGACGAUAACACUAAAGUUGAUUUUAUACGAGUCAUCAGAGUUUGCAAAGUGAGUUUUAUUUUUUGUAUUCCUUUAUCUUUACUUAAAGGUGAAUGUGUAUUCCUCUGGGAGGAAUAGGAAGAAAAAAGAAAAAAAAAAAAGAAAACUACGUAAAAAAAACCAGGAAUGUUAAUAAUGUUAAACAGAAUACUUCCUCCCUUAUUAAUAUAUAUAACCCUGAUGUAUUUAUGCCUAUUGUAAGCUGACUUUAAAGAGCUUUGACCUCUCUUCUGUUGCAUGCCGUUCCCGGGCAGCCUUUCCUUGUCCAUGCAUGCCUUUCGUCCUGGUUUUUCUGUACAAAGUUAGUGCACACAAAAGAACUAUUUUUGCCUAGUUAAUGUUGCCGAGCAAUGCCUAUUUUUUAAAUUUUCCUUUUUUUUUUUUUCUUUUUUUUUUCCUUUUUUCGGUCAUAUAUGGCAAUAGCAUGUUUGUUACAUGUAAAAGCUUCCCGAUAUAAAGAAAUACUAAUGUUUGGAGAUAUGCCGGUCUUUGCAAGUGUACAGUUUUCCAAUGUUGUUCCCAGUGAAAACACCCUCGUGAUUUCCACUUGCUCCGAUGUAUUUAUUACUCAUUUCCUCCCAUGUAACUCGGAACCAUGGCUAUAUUUCAUACCCGCGGUAUAUUGAAAGUGAAGGGAGAUGAUUAAUACAAGGUUUUGUAA